CAUAUUUUUGUCUAUUUGUUCUUCCAAGUUCAGGUUUUAUGGUAUUAUUGUCAUAUGAGGUGAAGUUGAUAUCCAUUACGAUACUCAGUUACACCACUGUCAUAAGAGGUGAAUUAAUAUCUUUGCUUUAAACAAGUUGAUAUCCGCCUCGUCCUCCCCGGCGAGCUUGCCUAGCAUGCCGUCUCCGAGGGCACCAAGGCCAUCACCAAUUUCACCAGCUAGAUAGGCCGUGUAUGUUUAUCGAUAGUUAGCUGCUGGAUUGUGCCCUGACUAGAUGUUGUCUUUUCAAUGGAACAACACAGACAUGUAAUUUCUGGUCUGAAGAAAGACAUGUUGAUGCUUGGAUGUUGGACGUGUUCUGAUGGUUUGAUUGAUGUUUGUUGAAUGCUUGUUGAUGCCGUUGGUUGUGAGAACUGAAUUCUGCGCCGAGCUGUCCCUUCGGAGUGAAAUGGCAGAGUUGCCUCGAGGUAUCUAAGGAUCGACUUCCUUCUCAAUAGUGAAAUUGCUUCUGUUGUUCAAGUGAGAGAAACAUGCAGGGAAUUGUUUGAAAACAACAUCAUCGCCGUCGGGAGGUUUACUGCGGGGAGUUUGGGGUGACCUACCUAUGCAUGGACUAUACCACCAGCGAGGCCCUCGCUCUGCGAGGGUGGGGAGCUCUUUGACCGGAUCGUUGUGAGGGGGCACUACACGGAACGCGCCACCACUGUGGUCACCAAAACCAUCGUCAGGGUCGUGUAGUUAAGAAUGGCCCCUGGAUUCCUUCAUUUGCCAUUUGGUUAACACUGUCCUAACAGUAUGCUGGGACACAUUCAUUCUAUGAU